rnacentral:rRNA from 1 species
AUUGAACGCUGGCGGCAGGCCUAACACAUGCAAGUCGAACGAGUGGCGGACGGGUGAGUAAUGCUUGGGAAUCUAGCUUAUGGAGGGGGAUAACUACGGGAAACUGUAGCUAAUACCGCGUACCAUAGGAUGAGCCCAAGUGGGAUUAGGUAGUUGGUGAGGUAAAGGCUCACCAAGCCGACGAUCCCUAGCUGGUCUGAGAGGAUGACCAGCCACACUGGAACUGAGACACGGCCCAGACUCCGACGGGAGGCAGCAGUGGGGAAUAUUGCGCAAUGGGCGCAAGCCUGACGCAGCCAUGCCGCGUGAAUGAAGAAGGCCUUCGGGUUGUAAAGUUCUUUCGGUAGCGAGGCGUUAACUACAGAAGAAGCACCGGCUAACUCCGUGCCAGCAGCCGCGGUAAUUC